UAUUAUUUAAACACACAAAUAUUGUUUAAUAAUUUAGUGCAUGUGAUGUGUUGUAUAAUAUUUCAAUAUUGAAACAAAAGAAACGAUUUGAAUAUGUGUAAAAGGUUUUUGGGCAUACUGAGAUUCAGUCUAGUCCAUGAAGAUCAAACGUACAUACACAGUGAAAUAUUUCCAGGUUUUACAUGUUAAAAUUUAGUAAGCAGAAGACUUAUAAACAAAUAUUUAUUAUCCGUUACUGUUAAAUUUGCAUUGAAUGUUUUGACAUGGUGUAAAUUUUGGAAUUAUACUCUUAAAUAAAGCCUUCAUUGCAUUGUUAUCUUUAGCUAGAACCUUGAAGCCUGGCAAGGAUUAUGAGACUGGAAACUUCCAUUGAGACUACCAAAUGAAGAGAAAGUUUCAGACUGUUUAACUCGGACUAAGGGAAAAGAAGCAAAUUACAACAAGGAAAAUAUUGCCGAGAAAGCAAAGACAAGUGAAAAGUCGAGUGAAGAAAAAGCAAACAAGGCUUCACGAUCUGCAACUAGGCCACUGGCGAUGAAGAAGAAAAAUGUACAGCUAAAGAAGAUACAUCAGUGAUCAACUAAAGCUGGGCGACUUACACUGGAUUGAUGAGGUGCAGGGGGGAUAUUAAUUUGGGUCUGUUUAUCUUUCUGUUUGUCAAUCUGUCUGUCUUUAACACUUUGUUCUCUUAACAUUUCCAAAAAGCCAUCAGAUAUUGCAAUGACAUUUUAUAUUAUAACUCAUUUUGACGAUCCCACUGCAGAACAUGAUCAAUACAAAUUUAAUAUUGUUUAUAAAUUAAAUAUUACCCUUAUAUAUUUUGAAGUGAAAUGGUCAGAGGUCAAGGCCUUUUUUGGGAGCACAUAUUGUUUUUGCCUGUCUGUUAAUCUGUCUAUUGCCAAUUUACCUUUUGCUAUAACUUUUGAAUCAUGAGAGAUAUAGAUACUUCAUAUUUGGUAUGCUUACUCCACUUUCAAAUGAGACCAAGACCAAUGACCUUGACUGUCAUCGUUAUGCUAAAAUAUAGCCUUAUUGAAUCUUUCACUUUUGAACCAUAAGAGGUAGAGAUUUUAUAUUGAGUAUCCAUACUCCACUAAUUAAGUUCUUUCAAAUACAUCAAGAUUAAUGACCUUGUGACUUUGACCUAUAUGUUUUUUGUUUUUUUUUCAAACUUUGUUGCCACCAGGUGCAUACUGUUUUUGUUUUUUUUAGGGGGGGGGGGUGUUAUGAAUUAGUUCUGUUUGGAAUCUGAAUCUUUUAUUGUACAGAAUUCUUCAGAAGUGACGAACCCUGAGGGCCUCACCCCUACUCUCUACACUAGGUUGUUGAUUUAAAUAUUUUUUUUAUUAUUAUUAAUAUUUGUCAUUGUACAUGUAUAUCAUAAAUAUUCUAAGAGAGCUGCUUCAGAAUGUAUUAACAAAGUUUGAAAAUAAGACAAUCUGUUUCCCCCCUUGUGUGUAAAUCAUGAUGUUGAAUCAUAAAUGCAUUAUAAUGUUACAGCAGUAAAAUUGUAAAGAAUUUGUUGUAUCAGAUACCAUCAGCAUUUUUUAAAAAUUAUUUUAUGUAUUAUUUUUUCUGUGUGGCCAUAAAUUUUUAUAAUACAUACAUUCAUUAAAUUUUAGAGAUCUUAUAAUUCUGCUUUGUUGCUAUGUAUGAUUUUUAAAAAAAAAAAGAUGUCCUAGGAGGCUAGGAUA